AAAAUAACGAUGAAAGAGAAUUUUAAUGAUAGAGGAGCAAAGAGAGCCAGUGGUAGGUGGAAACUGGAGGAAUCUACAUUAAAAUAGCGCUCUGGAGUUGUCAAAUCGAAAAUUGAGUAGGUUUGACCGGUUAAAGCCGUUAUCAGAGUAGAUAGUGUUUACACUACCUAUAGAGAUCAUUAUUGUGAAAUAAUGAUAAAUUAGGGUGGUACCACGAAAGAUAACCUUUCGUCCCUAUA
rnacentral:ncRNA from 1 species